rnacentral:other from 1 species
AAGGGACUGUCUGAUACGUUGAAGCCGCAUAUCUCUCGAGCCAACAUUACAUUAUAGGGAGCUGUCUCUGUCCGAAUCGUGGUUCGGUUACAUGGCACCCACUUUAACAUAAGCGGUUUGAAGAGUACAAAAGUUUAACGGUCAGACGGUUCCUCU